ensembl:snRNA U6 U6 spliceosomal RNA
UUGUUAGCAUUGCAGCACAUAUACUAAAAUUGGAAGGAUACAGAGAAGGUUAGCAUGGCCCCUGUGCGAGGGUGACAUGCAAAUUCCUGAAGCCUUCCAUCCAAAA